GCCGCCUGCCCACCCCCUCCCCACGCGCCAGCCGCCGAUCUGCGCCGCCGCCACGCAGGACGGCCAGAGGAACACCGGAGCUGGGCCACCCUCCUCUCCCUCCUCUCCUUUUACCUCCUCACCGCACCCUCUGAACUCGCUCGUGAACGCAGGUGUCGCCUUGGGCAUCUCAAAGCUUUCCCCACCCUGCCUCCGCUCUAGAUCCGGGUGUCGCCGUACUUUUCGCGUCGGAUCCGGAUGCCAUCCCCCGAGACCCCCUACCUCCUCGUCGGUCCAUCCUCUACUCACCGGCUUCCUUGUCCCCAUCGAUGAGGGAUCCAGCAAAACCUCCCUCGACGAGCUCGCUUCGCCGGCUACCACUCCCACCAGCGCCACGCAGUCCAGUACGUGGGUGCACGCAGCACGCCCAUGGUUGAUGCAGUGUGGCAGGGUGGCAGAUGCAGUGCGGCACUCACGGUCAUGCGUGUUCACCGGCGUGGUCGCUAUAGAUUGCCACGUAGGUCACUCCUGGGUAUCACUUUUUUUAUCAUAUGGUUGUUCUCUUUUUUUUAUUGUGCGAUUCACUUGUUGCCUUUGGUAUGCAGAUCAUUCUUUUUGACAUGUAUGAAUCAUGUAACUCUUUGAGAGGUUCGCUCCUCUGUCUAAUAUGGUUCACUCUGUUCCUUGUGCUAAACCAGAAGAGAUCAAGGUCAACUGCGGCGACGACGCCCCGUGAAGUUCGGAAGAGGAUUUUUCGCCGAGCAUGCAGUGCAAAAUCACUUUUUGAAAAUGUUUUGAUGUGGUCGCAGCCAUGGGACGCCGGCUUGAUUCAGAUUACCUAUGGGGGAGAGCAGUAGCACACAUGUACUAGUUCAGAAGCAUUUUAUUUUUAUUUUUUCAGACUUGUUUGUCAUUUCUCUCCAAUUCUGCAUUAGAGUACCUUGACAUGGCCACACACUUGUUUAGUUGGACAAGUCGUGGUUUCUUGUGUUGUGCAGUUCGCAGGUCCUGCUCGAGACGUUCACUUAACUGCCGUUGCCAAUUUUUAUUUUAUAAUUGAGGGUUGCCCAUGUUAAAUUUCAGGGCUAGUUUGUAAGCCCGUUGAAAACGAUGCAGUUCGUUGUGACACCCAAGUGAUUCACUCUGAAAAACGACUAUGCAGAUCUCUACGUCCACACAAUGGUGGAUAAUGAAUGGAUAUGUAUGUUUUUGAAGCUCACUUUGUCCUCUAAAAUAUUGAGUUUGGAAAAAACUCACGCGGUUCACUUUCGGUAGUGUUGCAGCCCGUUUGCGG
rnacentral:lncRNA from 1 species